rnacentral:tRNA from 1 species
GGUGAGGUGUCCGAGUGGUCGAAGGAGCACGCCUGGAAAGUGUGUAUACGGCAACGUAUCGAGGGUUCAAAUCCCUCCCUCACCG